rnacentral:rRNA from 1 species
GACGAACGCUGGCGGCGUGCUUAACACAUGCAAGUCGAGCGGUAAGGCCCUUUCGGGGGUACACGAGCGGCGAACGGGUGAGUAACACGUGGGUGACCUGCCCUUAGCUCUGGGAUAAGCCUGGGAAACUGGGUCUAAUACCGGAUAUGACUCCAUGACGCAUGUUGUGGGGUGGAAAGCCUUGUGCGGCUAGGGAUGGGCCCGCGGCCUAUCAGCUUGUUGGUGGGGUGAUGGCCUACCAAGGCGACGACGGGUAGCCGGCCUGAGAGGGCGACCGGCCACACUGGGACUGAGACACGGCCCAGACUCCUACGGGAGGGCAGCAGUGGGGAAUCUUGCGCAAUGGGCGGAAAGACCUGACGCAGCGACGCCGCGU